CCCCGGCAGUCAGUCGAUGAGUGAUAAGAUCCAUCGUCGAGAGGGAAACAACCCAGAUCAGCGGCUAAGGUGCCAAAAUACCGUUCAGUGGUAAGGAGGUGAAGUGACAUAGACAGUGAGGAUGUUGGCUUAGAAGCAGCCACCAUUUAAACAGUGCGUAACAGCUGACUCAUCGAGUUACUUCGCGCCGAAAAUGAUUGGCGAUAAACGGUAUACCGACGCCCUGGGUGUCUUCGGACACGGUAGGAGAGCGUAGUCUUUGCGUCGAAGCUGUUCUGUAAAGAGCGGUGGAGCGGAGACUAGCGAGAAUGCAGACAUGAGUAGCGAUAAACAAAGUGAGAAUCUUUGUCUCCGUAAACCUAAGGUUUCCUGGGCCAGGCUCGUCCUCCCAGGGUUAGCCGGGACCUAAGGCGAGGCCGAAAGGCGUAGUCGAUGGAUAACAGGUUAAUAUUCCUGUGCUAAAGCGCAAAAUGGGACGCAUGACAGUAAGGUGACACACACUAUGAUAUGUGAGUUUAGGCUUCGGCCGAAACACGUUACCCUAAGUUGUGCCGAGAAAACCGCGCAGGCCCGUACCGUAAACCGACACAGGUAGGUGAGUCGAAUAGACUAAGGAGCGCGAGAGAAAUCUCUCCAAGGAACUCGGCAAAUUAGCCCCGUAACUUCGGAAGAAGGGGUGCCCAUUUCGGUGGGCCACAGUAAAUUGGGACUGGCGACUGUUUACCAAAAACACAGCUCUCUGCAAAGUCGUGAAGACGACGUAUAGGGAGUGACACGUGACCAAUGCGAAAAGAUUAAGGUGACUUGUUAGCCCUUGAGGCGAAGCUCGGAGCCCAAGUCCUCGUGAAUGUCGGCCGUAACUAUAACGGUCCUAAGGUAGCGAAAUUCCUUGUCGGGUAAGUUCCGACCUGCACGAAUCGUGCAACGACCGGUCCGCUGUCUCGGAGAGAAUCUCGGCGAAGUUGUAAUUGCGGUGAAGAUGCCGCAUACCCGCAGUAGGACGGAAAGACCCUGUACACCUUUACUAUAAGCAAGUAUUGGCUUUUGAUUAGUGAUGCGUAGCGUAGGUGGGAGACUUUGAAGUGAUGGCUUAGGUUGUCAUGGAGUCGAAAUGUGAAACACCACUCUUUACUACUUAGAAUUCUAACAAUGAUUUCUCUGAAGCGAGACAUUGAACAGUGCUUGCGGGUUAGUUUGACUGGGGCGGUUUCCUCCCAAAAAGUAACGGAGGAGCACUAAGGUACCUUCAGCAUGGUUAGCAACCAUGCGUAGAGCGUAUGCGUAGAAGGGUGCUUGACUGUGAGACCUACAAGUCGAGCAGGUACGAAAGUAGGUGCAAAUGAUCCGGUGGUAGAACGUG
rnacentral:rRNA from 1 species